AGCUGGAUCAUUUUUCCGAUGACCACAAAAACCAAAAAACCGAGGGCCUUACUACGGCUUCUCACACACAAACAAACAAACAAAAAACAAACUUGUUGCCGCUUGACAAAAAAACUCAAAACUUUUUGUUGAGCACGGCUCCAACAACGUGUCGCGAUGGAUGACUUGGCUUCCUAUUUCGUUGAAGAACGCAGCAAAGUGCGAUAAGUGGUAUCAAUUGCAGAAUCAUUCAAUUACCGAAUCUUUGAACGCAAAAGGCGCAUGGGAGAAGCUCUUCACGAGUCAUCCCCGUGCAUGCCGCAUCUCAGUGUCGAACAACAAAAAAAAAGCCCUCUUGUGGAGAGAUCUGCAGGGGAACAAGUGCUUUUUUGGUUAACAAAAACAACAAGAGAGUCUGGUGUCUGGUUGAAAAUAACCAAAAGAACCACGCCAGUGUUUCGCCAAUCUUUUUUUCGGAAAAGCUUUGGCCUACAACCCAAAAGACAAAUUUGUGUGUGGAAACACGCACAUUUUUGUCGGAUGAGACACACCAAGAAACUUAAAACACUUUUUGGGUAAAUCACAUUCACACUCUUUGUUUACAGACCUGAGUGCGGCAGGACUACCCGCCGAACUUAAGCAUAUUACUCAGCGGAGGAAAAGAAAACAACCGUGAUUCCCUCAGUCAGCGGCGAGCGAAGAGGGAUCGAACUCGUUGCCGAAUCGGGUCUCAAAGGCCUUGAGUUGUGGCAAAAACGCUGCUCUGUGAUUGGUGCGGGACUGGCAAAAUUCAAGCGCAAAGCAAACCCAUUGCUGAAUACAACCCUUCAUGUGAGUAUUGAGCCAAAGAAGGUGUUAGCCCAUUGAGCCAUAAACCCAAGCAUCUCACUUGAGUAGUACCAAGAGAGUAGCACUGUUUGGAAAUACAGUGUCAAGCGGCAGGUAUGUGUCUGCCAAAGUUAAAUAUAGAGUAGGAAGACCGAUAUCGAACAAGUAGCGUGAGCGAAAGUUUGAAAAGCACUUUGGAAAGAGAGUGACAUAGAACCUGAAGUCGUGACAAUGACAAUGGAAGUACCUCCAUUUCACCGGCCAAAACCAGCCUGGCAGCAUUUUCUUCGUGGGGUUCAAAAUCCGCGGGGUAACAAAGUGCAAGAUUCAGGGCAUUGGUGUUAAUGGGCGGGGAAAAAGCUUGUGGCACCGCUUGCGGCGAGCUGCUUGUCUUCCCUGUGACGCUCAAUUUUGGCGAAGGAAAUGGGGUGCCUUCACCCGUCUUGAAACACGGACCAAGGAGUCAAACAGACGCGCAAGGGAGAAGAUAUUGUUGCCAGUACUUCUCUCGUACUGAAAGGGAGAUGCGAACGCAUCCGUGGUGUGCACACACAUGAAUGCCCAACACCGACCGGCCCCCCGUGGGUUGAGUUAGAGUGUGCCUGUUUGGACCCGAAAGGUGGUGAACUAUACCUGAACAAGGUGAAGCCGGGGGAAACCCAGGUGGAGGCCUGUAGCGAUGCUGACGUGCAAAUCGCUCGCACGAUUUGGGUAUCGGAGCGAAAGACUCAUCGAACCACCUAGUAGCUGGUUCACAU
rnacentral:misc_RNA from 1 species